rnacentral:rRNA from 1 species
CUGAUGUUAGCGGCGGACGGGUGAGUAACACGUGGGUAACCUGCCUGUAAGACUGGGAUAACUCCGGGAAACCGGGGCUAAUACCGGAUGGUUGUCUGAACCGCAUGGUUCAGACAUAAAAGGUGGCUUCGGCUACCACUUACAGAUGGACCCGCGGCGCAUUAGCUAGUUGGUGAGGUAACGGCUCACCAAGGCGACGAUGCGUAGCCGACCUGAGAGGGUGAUCGGCCACACUGGGACUGAGACACGGCCCAGACUCCUACGGGAGGCAGCAGUAGGGAAUCUUCCGCAAUGGACGAAAGUCUGACGGAGCAACGCCGCGUGAGUGAUGAAGGUUUUCGGAUCGUAAAGCUCUGUUGUUAGGGAAGAACAAGUGCCGUUCAAAUAGGGCGGCAACUUGACGGUACCUAACCAGAAGGC